rnacentral:tRNA from 1 species
CGAAACAUAGCUUAACCAAAGCACCCCGCCUACACCGGGAAAAUACCUGUGAAACCCGGGUUGUCUCGA